CCAAAGUCCACAUUCGUCACCCCGUUUGGGCUAUACCAAUUCAAGGUGAUGCCAUUCGGGAUGAAGAAUGCGCCGGCUACGUUUCAGCGGAUGGUGGACCGGUUACUGGACGGAUCCCAGGAGUAUGCUUGCGCCUAUUUAGAUGACAUAGCAAUAUUUAGCAACUCCUAGGACGAGCACUUGACCCAUAUAGGAGCCAUCCUCGACCGCAUCAGGGAGGCAGGUCUCACGUUAAAACCCAGCAAGUGCCACGUAGGGAUGGCCGAAGUGCAGUACUUAGGC